CUCCUCCGGCUUGAAGAGACUUGCCGGAGUGGUGACUCUCAUCUGCUCGAAGAUGAACCCACUGUGGACCCUCCUCUUUGUGCUGUCAGCCCCCAGAGGGGUCCUGUCCCAGGUGCAGCUGCAGGAGUCGGGCCCCAGCCUGAUGAAGCCCUCACAGACCCUCUCCCUCACCUGUACGACCUCUGGAUUAUCAUUAACCAGAUAUGGUAUACACUGGGUCCGCCAGGCUCCAGGAAAGGCGCUGGAGUGGCUCGGUGAUAUAAGCAGUGGUGGAAGCACAGGCUAUAACCCAGCCCUGAAAUCCCGGCUCAGCAUCACCAAGGACAACUCCAAGAGCCAAGUCUCUCUGUCACUGAGCAGCGUGACACCUGAGGACACGGCCACAUACUACUGUGCAAGAGACACAGUGAGGGGAAGUCAGUGUGAGCCCAGACAAAAACCUCCCUGCAUAGGGGCCCGUGACCACCAGGGGGCGCUCAGGACUCAGUACAGAGCUGAGCCCUGGAGCAGGUGCAGAAGAGGCGUUGGGCGUGACCAUCACUGGCACAGGAAAAGGAAGCAGGAGCUGUGCUGGGCUCAGCCCUGA